rnacentral:rRNA from 1 species
AGCGAACGCUGGCGGUAGGCCUAACACAUGCAAGUCGAACGGCAGCACAGUAAGAGCUUGCUCUUACGGGUGGCGAGUGGCGGACGGGUGACGAAUACAUCGGAAUCUACUUUUUCGUGGGGGAUAACGUAGGGAAACUUACGCUAAUACCGCAUACGACCUACGGGUGAAAGCAGGGGAUCUUCGGACCUUGCGCGAUUGAAUGAGCCGAUGUCGGAUUAGCUAGUUGGCGGGGUAAAGGCCCACCAAGGCGACGAUCCGAAGCUGGUCUGAGAGGAUGAUCAGCCACCCUGGAACUGAGACAGGGUCCAGACUCCUACGGGAGGCAGCAGUGGGGAAUAUUGGGCAAUGGGGGCGAGCCUGAUACAGCCAUACCGCGUGGGUGAAGAAGGCGUUCGGGUUGUAAAGCCCUUUUGUUGGGAAAGAAAAGCAGCAGGUUAAUACCCCGCUGUUCUGACGGUACCCGAAGAAUAAGCACCGGCUAACCUCGUG